CGUAGGGUGCAAGCGUUAAUCGGAAUUACUGGGCGUAAAGCGUGCGCAGGCGGUUAUGCAAGACAGAUGUGAAAUCCCCGGGCUCAACCUGGGAACUGCAUUUGUGACUGCAUGGCUAGAGUACGGUAGAGGGGGAUGGGAUUCCGCGUGUAGCAGUGAAAUGCGUAGAUAUGCGGAGGGACACCGAUGGCGAAGGCAAUCCCCUGGACCUGUACUGACGCUCAUGCACGAAAGCGUGGGGAGCAAACAGGAUUAGAUACCCUGGUAGUCCACGCCCUAAACGAUGUCAACUGGUUGUUGGGAGGGUUUCUUCUCAGUAACGUAGCUAACGCGUGAAGUUGACCGCCUGGGGAGUACGGCCGCAAGGUUG
rnacentral:rRNA from 1 species